rnacentral:rRNA from 1 species
GACGUAGGGCGCGAGCGUUGUCCGGAUUUACUGGGCGUAAAGAGCGCGCAGGCGGUCGUGCAAGUCGCGUGUGAAAGCCCCCGGCUCAACUGGGGAGGGUCACGCGAUACUGCUCGACUCGAAGGCAGGAGAGGGAAGUGGAAUUCCCGGUGUAGUGGUGAAAUGCGUAGAUAUCGGGAGGAACACCAGUGGCGAAGGCGACUUCCUGGCCUGUUCUUGACGCUGAGGCGCGAAAGCUAGGGUAGCAAACGGGGAUUAAGAUAACCCUAGU